UACGGGGGGGCAAGCGUUGUUCGGAAUUACUGGCGUAAAGGGCUCGUAGGCGGCCAACUAAGUCAUACGUGAAAUCCCUCAGCUUAACUGGGACUGCGUGUGAUACUGGACGGCUCGAGUUUGGGAGAGGGAGUGCAGAAUUCCAGGUGUAGCGGUGAAAUGCGUAGAUAUCUGGAGGAAUACCAGUGGCGAAGGCGGCGACCUGGACAGAUAUUGACGCUGAGGUGCGAAAGCGUGGGGAGCAAACAGG
rnacentral:rRNA from 1 species